UGGUUCUGGCAUNGAUGAAGAACGCAGCGAAAUGCGAUAAGUAGUGUGAAUUGCAGAAUUCAGUGAAUCAUCGAAUCUUUGAACGCACAUUGCGCCCCUUGGUAUUCCAUGGGGCAUGCCUGUUCGAGCGUCAUUUGAACCCUCAAGCUCUGCUUGGUGUUGGGUGUUUGUCCUGCUCUACGCGUGGACUCGCCUCAAAUCAAUUGGCAGCCGGCAAUCUGGUCUUCGAGCGCAGCACAUUUUGCGCUUCUAGCCCUGUAUUCUGGCAUCCAUCAAGCCUACAAUUCUUACGCUUGACCUCGGAUCAGGUAGGGAUACCCGCUGA
rnacentral:misc_RNA from 1 species